UUAAAACUUUCAACAACGGAUCUCUUGGUUCUCGCAUCGAUGAAGAACGCAGCGAAAUGCGAUAAGUAGUGUGAAUUGCAGAAUUCAGUGAAUCAUCGAAUCUUUGAACGCACAUUGCGCCUCCUGGUAUUCCGGGAGGCAUGCCUGUUCGAGCGUCAUG
rnacentral:rRNA from 1 species